rnacentral:rRNA from 1 species
GAUGAACGCUGGCGGCGUGCUUAACACAUGCAAGUCGAACGGAAAGGCCCAAGCUUGCUUGGGUACUCGAGUGGCGAACGGGUGAGUAACACGUGGGUGAUCUGCCCUGCACUUCGGGAUAAGCCUGGGAAACUGGGUCUAAUACCGGAUAGGACGAUGGUUUGGAUGCCAUUGUGGAAAGUUUUUUCGGUGUGGGAUGAGCUCGCGGCCUAUCAGCUUGUUGGUGGGGUAAUGGCCUACCAAGGCGUCGACGGGUAGCCGGCCUGAGAGGGUGUACGGCCACAUUGGGACUGGGAUACGGCCCAGAGUAGUACGGGAGGCAGCAGUGGGGAAUAUUGCACAAUGGGGGCAAGCCUGAGGCAGCGACGCCGCGUGGGGGAUGACGGCCUUCGGGUUGUAAACUCCUUUCGCUAGGGACGAAGCGUUUUUGUGACGGUACCUGGAGAAGAAGCACCGGCUAACUACGUG